rnacentral:rRNA from 1 species
GCAAUGGACAAAGUCUGACGGAGCAACGCCGCGUGAGUGAUGACGGCCUUCGGGUUGUAAAGCUCUGUUAAUCGGGACGAAAGGCCUUCUUGCGAAUAGUUAGAAGGAUUGACGGUACCGGAAUAGAAAGCCACGGCUAACUACGUGCCAGCAGCCGCGGUAAUACGUAGGUGGCAAGCGUUGUCCGGAAUUAUUGGGCGUAAAGCGCGCGCAGGCGGAUUGGUCAGUCUGUCUUAAAAGUUCGGGGCUUAACCCCGUGAUGGGAUGGAAACUGCCAAUCUAGAGUCUCGGAGAGGAAAGUGGAAUUCCUAGUGUAGCGGUGAAAUGCAUAGAUAUUAGGAAGAACACCAGUGGCGAAGGCGACUUUCUGGACGAAAACUGACGCUGAGGCGCGAAAGCCAGGGGAGCGAACGGGAUUAGAUACCCCGGUAGUCCUGGCCGUAAACGGUGGGUACUAGGUGUAGGAGGUAUCGACCCCUUCUGUGCCGGAGUUAACGCAAUAAGUACCCCGCCUGGGGAGUACGACCGCAAGGUUGAAACUCAAAGGAAUUGACGGGGGCCCGCACAAGCGGUGGAGUAUGUGGUUUAAUUCGACGCAACGCGAAGAACCUUACCAGGUCUUGACAU